rnacentral:rRNA from 1 species
UACGAAGGGGGCUAGCGUUGCUCGGAAUCACUGGGCGUAAAGGGUGCGUAGGCGGGCCUUUAAGUCAGGGGUGAAAUCCUGGAGCUCAACUCCAGAACUGCCUUUGAUACUGAAGAUCUUGAGUUCGGGAGAGGUGAGUGGAACUGCGAGUGUAGAGGUGAAAUUCGUAGAUAUUCGCAAGAACACCAGUGGCGAAGGCGGCUCACUGGCCCGGUACUGACGCUGAGGCGCGAAAGCGUGGGGAGCAAACAGG